GAGAAAAUGGCAAAAUCUGUUAGAUUAGUCUCUCCGAAUUCUCCGAAAAUAAAAAUAGAACUGUAUCUUUGAAUAGCCGAAUAGGGAAGCGUGCCAGGGCUAUCUCAAUCUUCCCAUACUUAUCGAUCACGUCACCAUCUAUCUCCUUUGUCCGAUACGAAGCCGAACCUCCCUUCUUUAAAAUCCACACCUUGUCCGAAUCUCUCUCCAACCGCAAAAAAAGAAAAAAAAAAUGGCGACAACCCAGCUAAAAUCCGAUGCGAUCAUGGAUUUGAUGAAGCAGCAUCUCUCCACCGACGCCGGUAAAGAGCUCACAGAG
rnacentral:lncRNA from 1 species